GGAGGAAAGCAGGGGAUCGUAAGACCUUGCGCCGAUGGAUGAGCCGAAGUCGGAUUAGCUAGUUGGUAGGGUAACGGCCUACCAAGGCGACGAUCCGUAGCUGGUCUGAGAGGACGACCAGCCACACUGGGACUGAGACACGGCCCAGACUCCUACGGGAGGCAGCAGUGGGGAAUAUUGGACAAUGGGGGCAACCCUGAUCCAGCGACGCCGCGUGUGUGAAGAAGGCCUGCGGGUUGUAAAGCACUUUUAGUGGGGAUGAAAAGCUCAGGGCUAAUACCUCUGGGUCUUGACCUAACCCACAGAAAAAGCACCGGCUAACUCUGUGCCAGCAGCCGCGGUAAUACAGAGGGUGCGAGCGUUAAUCGGAAUUACUGGGCGUAAAGCGCGCGUAGACGGUUUUGUAAGUCAGA
rnacentral:rRNA from 1 species